UCGGAGCCAUUAACCCAAGGAAGCGAUUGAAGUAAGACAGGUGUGAGAAAGAAUGUUUAGGGUUUUCUCCCAUGUAUUUCUCUCGGAACCCUUUUGUUCCCCGAAGCGUUAGGGAUCUUUUCUGUGAAUGUCUAGCUUUUCCGCCUUAGCUGAGGAUACUUCCCCUUCCUGGAUUCCACUCAGUCCGACAAGAUUAGGAUCCAGUCUGAGAUCACCGUUCUGCAAGGUUGACUGUGGCUGCAGGAGUCAGUGUUCCUGGGAGAAGGAAGGGAAGCAGAUCCUGGCAAAAGCAUUCUGCUUUUUUACUUCAUGAAUCAAUCUGACUCCAUGAGCCUUGUGUAAGUGAAAUCGCACAUCUGCCCUUCUUUGCUAAUGUCUCUUAAUAUAAUUGUUUUUAUGUAUGUCAUGGAAUGUAUCAGAACUUCUUUCCUUUUAAAACUGGUUGAUAUUUCACACAUUUCCUUAUUCACAUCUGUUGUGUACUCUUUUUUUUUUUUUUUAUUUAAAUACUGCUUGGCCCAUUAGUUUCAGCCUCUUAUUGGCUAAUUCUCACAUCUUGCUUUAACCCAUAUUUAGUAAUCUGUUUAGCACCAC